GGUGAGAGAAGCAGAGGCCCAAGAGAAUAUUGCAAAUACCCAAGGUCACCCUGUCAGGAGUGGAAGAAUAGUGCUGGAACAAGGACUCUUUUCUCCAGACAGCAUCCUUUCCACCUUGCACCUACAAUCCACUCGAACACUGUAGCAUGGAGGCAGACUCCUUGCCAACAGGUAUUGUCGAGAGCUUCUUCCUACCGUCAUUUGAAGAAAAUAAGCUUGGAGAGGGGGAAGAAUGAUUGAUCAAUGUGUUUCUUCCUUAGUUUGUUACUGCUGUUGUUUUAAAUCGAGAAAGCAUUUUUAAACAGGAUUGGGGGGACUGAUAAUAUCAGUCCUCCUUAACUUCAUCACAGCCGAGUCAUCAGUAUUUUAUAAUAUUUCUUGCAGGUUGAUGAUUACAACAAUAUAAUUUUAUUUGUUUUAAUUAAACUCUAUUUGCUUCCCACGUAAUUUGUGGUGACUCACAAGAAAAACAUGUAUGUGUAAACCCAGGGAUAUUAGACUAAAAUUGAGAGAUCAGAAACUAUGUAGAACAAAUAGAUUGCGUUUACAUGACUACGAAGUAUUAUAAAAGAAAAUAAACAAAAAUCAUGAUUAGGAAAUAUAUUAUGACUAUGUUUAUAUAUAUUCAGACAGUUACUAUAAUUCAGGUUCAGAUGUGAUUCCAAGCUGUCUGGCAAGAAGGUCAAAAUGGAAAAUGUGCUCUUACUACUCCUAGGGGGAAACAUUGUUCCUUGCAUGAUUUCUAAAAGGUAAUUCUGAUGUGUCCUCGACAUUUUCAUAGCAAACAUGGCAGCAAAUUUUUUAAGUAAACAGCUUAU
rnacentral:antisense_RNA from 1 species